rnacentral:rRNA from 1 species
UACGGGGGGGGCAAGCGUUGUUCGGAAUUACUGGGCGUAAAGGGCGCGUAGGCGGUCAGACCAAGUCGAGUGUGAAAUUCCAGGGCUUAACUCUGGCACGCUCGCUCGAUACUGGUCGGCUAGAGUGUGGAAGAGGAUGCUGGAAUUCCCGGUGUAGCGGUGAAAUGCGUAGAUAUCGGGAAGAACACCAGUGGCGAAAGCGGCUCUCUGGGGACCACCUGACGCUGAGGCGCGAAAGCGUGGGGAGCGAACCGG